UCCCAGGGAUAUUAAUUCAGUAGAUUGGUCAUAUGGAUGUACUCGAAGGACACCGCUGACAUGUCAUGGUGGAGACAGCUUUCUCAGGAAAACUGGCCUAAAAUUACCGGACACUUCGAAAACUUGGGCAAAUAUUAGCAUUGAUCUUAAGGAGUGUGAGAAAUUGUGUUUGAAGAAUUGCUCUUGCACUGCAUACGCGAAUUUAGAUAUCCGAGAGGGAGGCCAUGGCUGCUUGCUGUGGUUUGGAGACCUAAUUGACAUCAUAGCAUUCAGUGAGGGUGGACAGGACCUUUAUAUCAGGCUGGCUACUUCUGAUCUGAGUAACGUUNNNNNNNNNNNNNNNNNNNNNNNNNNNNNNNNNNNNNNNNNNNNNNNNNNNNNNNNNNNNNNNNNNNNNNNNNNNNNNNNNNNNNNNNNNNNNNNNNNNNNNNNNNNNNNNNNNNNNNNNNNNNNNNGGAAAGCUAAAUGAAAAGCUGAAGGCUGUAUCAUAGCCAUCUCUGUAAUAAUAGCAGCGGAAUGACAAUACUAGCAUUGUUGUUGUAUGUUCAGAAGAUCAUGCUUAGAAACACAGGUAAACAGAUCAGUUGCCAAUUAAAACCACUAUCAUAUAACAAGAUAAUCAUUUUCAAUCCAUCUUAUAUUAAUUCAAUGACAACCAGGGGAACAUGGAAAGGAAGAUUUAGAGUUGCCUGUUUUUGAUUUAACAACCAUAGCUACUGCAACUAAUAACUUCUCGAGCAACAACAUCCUUGGACAAGGUGGAUUUGGUCCUGUUUACAAGGUAUAUAAGCUGUAUUCUGCAAACUAUAUUUCACUCACUAUUUAACCAUUUUGAACAUUAUAAAUUUUAGGGAACAUUGAUUGAGGGGCAAGAAAUAGCAGUGAAGAGACUUUCAAAGAAUUCGGGACAAGGACUGGAAGAGUUCAAAAAUGAAGUAACAUUGAUUUCCAAACUCCAGCACCGCAAUCUUGUAAAGCUCUUUGGUUGUUGCAUCAGGAAAGAUGAAAAGAUGUUAGUUUAUGAGUACAUGCCUAACAAAAGUUUGAACUACUUUAUUUUCGGUUCGAAACCUACUAUCUCAGCACUUCUUUUUCUCCCCUUCCUUCCCCACCCCAUGGUCUUGUUACCCAAUUUCUUUUUAUUUCUUUGUCUGAUGUCUUUUUUAUUGGUUGCAGAUCAAACAAGAAGCAAAUUACUGGACUGGCGUAUACGAAUGCAUAUUAUCGAUGGAAUUGCUAGAGGGGUUCUUUAUCUUCACCAUGACUCUAGAUUGAAGAUUAUCCAUAGAGAUCUCAAAGCAAGCAAUAUUUUACUAGAUCAUAACAUGAAUCCGAAGAUAUCUGAUUUUGGCUUAGCUCGAAAGUUCGGAGUAGAUCAGACUCAGGCCAAAACUAAAAGAGUGGUCGGAACAUAGUAUGUAUAUAAGCAAGACUUGUUUGGUGCAUUAUUCCAAGUGGCUUUUAAAGUUCUAAUCUAACAUUUUUUCUCCUGCAGCGGUUAUAUGUCCCCUGAAUAUGCUUUGGAUGGGCUUUUUUCAAUGAAAUCUGAUGUCUUCAGCUUUGGAGUUUUGGUUCUAGAGAUACUAUCAGGAAAGAAAAACAGGGGAUUUUCCCACCCAGAACAUGACCAUAAUCUUCUUGGACAUGUAAGACCUGAAGACUGAACUGUAGCAAAUCAUGUUUUCUUUUGUCUCAAACAAUAAUAUCAUUUGCCGUUCCAACUUUUCAGGCAUGGAAAUUGUGGAUGGAAAAGAGGCCAUUAGAACUAAUCGACAUUGCAUUGGGCGACUCGUAUGAUGCAACCGAAGGGUUAAGAUGCAUCAAUGUAGCUCUAUUAUGUGUGCAACAAUGCCCCCCAGACAGACCUAACAUGUCAUUGGUUUUGGUCAUGUUGUGCGGUGACAGUGUAUUGCCCCAACCAAAGGAGCCUGGGUUUUUCAUCGAAAGAAAUCUGCCUAUGGCAGACUCUAUAUCAGUCAAAAGUGAAAUUUCCUCCAUGUAUAGAUCUAUUACAUCAUUAGAGCCACGAUAGACGCUUGUAAAUGUUGGAACAAAGAACAAGGUUGAAUGAAACAAGCAAUUUCUUGAGCUAGAAGGCUCGAUACUUGCUGUGCAAACAAAACAGAAUUGAGCUUAAAGAACUAAAGAAAUCAAUGAAUUAAGAGAGCAUUGGAUGAUAAAUUCUUUGAAGAAUUUUUCAUAUAUUUGAAAGAUGGCAUAAUACCAAUACAUAUACAUGACAUAAACUGGUUAAGAGAAGCAAAAUUGAUCACCUAAACACUACCUACUACCACUAAGUACAUUGAUAUCAUUAUAAUUAUUUUAACAUGGCAGAAAUUUUUUUUUUACUGGAACAUGGACCAAAUUGGUAAUAAUAACAAAACAUUAUUGCUGACAUAACAUUAUAACAUUGUUGCAUUGACCAGAAAAUUAAUUAAAGACCGUAUUUGGAAAAUUAGACCAACGCAUCAUAAUUAAGGGACUCAAUUAAAUAAUUAUUUUAAGAUUAAAGUAUUUAUUUAGUAAUUAAUUAGUAGUUCAAAAAAGUAGAAAUGAACUUCUUCCCCAAACAUUUAGGUUAAGUUCAAACAAGGCUAUGUCUAGUCCUAGCGGUGAGCAAAACUUAAUUCGACUUGAUUUUUUUUUUAAAGUUUGAGUUAAUUAAAUUGAGUUAUUCGGUUUUCUCGAGUAAACUUGAAUAAGUAAUUCGAGUUUCGAGUUUCGAGUUCGAGUCAAGUUGAAUUUUACAAUUUAAAUAAUUCAAAUAAUUCAAAUAACAUAUUGGUGUAAAUAUCCUUUGAUCUUUUUCAAUUUUGAAAAUGAGCAAAUUAGUCUCUCUCAACAAAAAUUUUUAAAAAAUCAAAAUAAUUUUUAAAAUCUAAAAUAUUUAUAAAAAUUUCAAAAUUCAAUUUUUUUUAAAUUAUAAAAAUUUCAAAAAAUAAAAAUUCAAAAUAUAUAUAUAAAGUUUAAAAAAUUGGGUAAAUUCCUAGGUGAUCACCCAACUUUUGGGUAGGUUCUAUUUUGGUCAUCCAACUUCAAAAACUUUCAAUUUCAUCACCAACGUUUUGAAAAUUUAAAAUUUUAGUAACCCACAAUUAAUUACUUAACAAAAAGAUGAUACGAUCAUUUUUUUUAUUGGCCUAAUAACAAAUUUAGUUCUCCAAUGUUUAUACAUUUUAUCAAAUUGAUCCUAAAUCUAAAAAUUCAACAGAUUUAGCCCUUAGUGUUUAUGAAAUUUGUUAUUUAAUUUUAAUUUUAAAAAAUCAAUAAAUUUAAUCUUGAACAUUUACAAAAUUUUCCAAUUUAAUUUUAAUUCUAAAAGUUUAAAAAAGAAAAAUAUUUUUAAAAAAUCAAUAAAAAAUCAUUUUUGUUAUUUAGAAGCUCUUUGAAAAGCAUAUGCAAUAACUUUUUUAAACAACGAUUUAGAAGAUCCCCAACAAAAUCUUUUCUUUUAUCAUAAAAUUGAACUUCUUUUAUACAUACCUAGUAAAGGGUGAGUAACAGAUAAGAGAAAAAUGACUUUUUAUCGAAUUUAUUAAAAAAAAAUUAAACUUUUAAGUUUAUAUUGAAAAUGAUAAAAUUUACACACAACUGCUUUUAGGUAAAUGUUUAUUGCUUUAAAUAUCAUAAAGUGGAUUAAUUUAAAAAAAUUAAACUUCUGUUGUAACUAAUAUAAUUGUUUUCUUAGCCUAUUUUUCUAACAAAUAGUUGUGUGAGCUAUGGACAUCCAUGUUCACUACACCAAAUUGUUGAUGCUAAGAUGAAGUUAGGCUAAGAUAAGGCUUCGAUUCACCUUGGUAGGACUGAAAGCCAUCAAGAGGAGAGGAGGGAGGAGAAAGAAGAGGAGGAGGAGAGAGAGAGAUCGUUUCCCCCCUUAAGUACUUUCGUCUAGUAUUUAUAUGGGGAGUUGAGGUGCUAUGGGGGAGCAUCCCAUUGGUGGACAAGCAUUUCGUUAUUUUUCAGUAAAAAUUGUGAUGUGAUUUUAUAAGGUUAUGAUAUGACACUAUAAAGUGAGUUAGUGAUGGAUGGUAAUUAUCCUAUUCGUUAGAGAGUUUGUGAGAAGUGACGAACCAAUCAUACCUGAUGAGGGUGUGUAGAACAAUAGUAGAACAAUAGUAGUACAAUCUAGUUAGAGAUGUAGAGGUGCCAGUUAAAGGAGGUAAUAUAACAAGCAUAGUUUUACUUGACAUGGGUGUAUUAAAUACCCAAAUAUUGACCUUUUUUUUUAUUUACCAAAAUAUUAAAUAGGGAUAAAUCCCGCAACUAUACAUGAACUAUAGUUUAAUGUGCAAUUGUAUACAUGAACUUUGAUAUUGUGCAAUUUUAUACAUGAAAUUUUGAUUUGAUCCAGUUCUUUUAAAUUAUUAACACAAUUAUUGAUAUAAUAUUAUUUUAUAUUUAUAUAUUCAUACAUAAAUAAUUAUAUUCAUUCAAUAUAAAAAUAAAUGUAUUUACUUAUUUAAAUCUGUAUAAUUAAAUCAAAAUUACAGUUUCAAGUAUAUAUUUGAAUCACAAUUAGAGUUUCACUUGUAUAAUUGUACCAAAUAAAGUUCAUGUAUACAAUUACACAUAAAAAUAAAAUUCAAGUAUAAUAUUAAGAUUUAUCCCUAUUAAAUACGUAAAAUUAUUUAUGGAUGUGUGUUAGAAUAAUAAAUUUUGGGCUCAUUUGCAAUUGUUUAAAUUAUUUUGAGCCAGUCUUCUUCUAUCUUCGGUUUAAAUUAUUCUGUACUGUUUGUUCCUGGGUUCUGGUGUGUGAAAAACCACACCUUUCCACAUCAAUAGUAGUCAAGCAUUGUUUUCAGCUUUGACCAAGUAUCUUUAGGAUGAUCAGGUCAUGCUUAAUCAUCCUUUCUUCUUUUACACAUUUAUAUACUUUACAUAUAUUAUAUACGUAUGGCAACCCUUUGACUUUUCAAAGCCGAAGAUAUAUAAGCUUGGAUUCAAACUCAUAUUUUAGCUUAAUAAAUCAACAUUUAAUUUUGAAAAGAAAUUUAAAUAUAUAAAACCCGAAACCCUUACAAUAUUUAAUUUGGUAAGAUGCGAGACUAACAUCAAUCUGAAAUUUAUUUGAUUUUAAAUUUAGAAUGUCAAAGGGGCUGCUAUAAUGAAUAGAAAAAUAAAUACCUACAGAGAGGGACGUCUAACCCAAUAAUAUUGAUCUUGAGAAGUUUCUCCUUGCAUCUAUUAUCUUUAAAAUGAGUAAUCAGUUUUACUUAUUAGGAAAUAAAUGGAAGCCUUCUUAAUGGAGCUUGUUCUGUGUUUGCUUCUCUUCUUUACAAGAAGAACUUGGGCAAUAGACACUUUAACCCAAGGGCAGUCCAUAAAAGAUGGUGAAACUCUUGUGUCAGCAGGUGGAAGCUUUGAACUGGGAUUUUUCAGUCCUGGGAAUUCCAAGAGUCGAUACGUGGGAAUUUGGUACAAGAAAGUAUCAACUGGAACUGUUGUAUGGGUUGCCAAUAGGGAAAAUUUAGUUUCAGAUGCCUCAGGAGUUUUAAGUAUCAAUGAGAAAGGCAUUCUUUCAAUCAUGAAUGGCACCAAAGGCAUUGUUUGGUCUUCAAACACAUCGAGAAAUUCAGCAGAGGAGCCGAUUGCACAACUCCUGGAUUCCGGAAAUUUCGUAGUGAAGGACCGAAAUGAUAGUGAUUCGGAAAACUUUCUUUGGCAAAGUUUUGAUCAUCCUGGCGAUACCUUUCUACCAGGAAUGAAGAUUGGAAUAAACUUUGUCACCGGUUCCGAGAGGCAUGCAUCAUCCUGGAAAAACACGGAAGAUCCUGCUCCGGGCAUAUAUACUUACAGGGUUGACUCGCAGGGGUACCCACAGGUAGUUGUUAAAAAGGGAGCUGAUAUAUUAUUCAGAGCAGGUUCAUGGAAUGGUCUUUAUCUCACAGGAAGCCCACUGCCUGUUAAUCCAUUAUAUUCAUUUGAGCUUGUCUUGAAUGAGAAUGAGGUCUACUACACAUACCAGGUGCAAAACAAUUCAAUCUAUACACGGUUUUUAUUGAAUCCAUCAGGUCUAAUACAACGCACCAUAUGGAAUGAGAGGACAAAUAACUGGGAGGUUUAUGCCACAUCGCAAUCGGAUCAAUGUUCGAUCUAUGCCUAUUGUGGAUCAUAUGCUACUUGCAGCACCAAUGAGUCUCCACCAUGUAAAUGCUUGGAAGGGUUCAUCCACAGAUCAGCAUCUCCCAGGGAUAUUAAUUCAGUAGAUUGGUCAUAUGGAUGUUCUCGAAGGACACCGCUGGCAUGUCAUGGUGGAGACAGCUUUCUCAGGAAAACUGGCCUAAAAUUACCGGACACUUCGAAAACUUGGGCAAAUAUUAGCAUUGAUCUUAAGGAGUGUGAGAAAUUGUGUUUGAAGAAUUGCUCUUGCACUGCAUACGCGAAUUUAGAUAUCCGAGAGGGAGGCCAUGGCUGCUUGCUGUGGUUUGGAGACCUAAUUGACAUCAUAGCAUUCAGUGAGGGUGGACAGGACCUUUAUAUCAGGCUGGCUACUUCUGAUCUG
rnacentral:lncRNA from 1 species